CGUGGCCAGAAUCACACUUGACUACUAGUUAUCAGUGUGCUAGAGUUUUCACAGAGUAACUGCUGGCCUUAGUCACUAGCUGUGGCCCUCAAGGCACAGUCAGUCACCAGGUUUGACAUGC
ensembl:snoRNA